UGAGUAACGCAAAUGUUGGUGAGAAUCUAAUGUCUCGAAAACCCAAGGGUUCCUCUGCAAGGUUCGUCCUCUGAGGGUGAGUCGGGACCUAAGAUUAGGUCGAAAGGCAUAAUCGAUGGACAAUAGGUGAAUAUUCUUGUACUACCUUUUGUUGGUCCCGAGGGACGAAGGAGGUUAGGUUAGCCGAAAGAUGGUUAUCGGUUCAAGGACGCAUGGUGCCACUGCUUCUUCAGAGUAAUAAGGGGUAGAGAAAAUGCCUCGAGCCAAAGUUUGAGUCUAUGCACUAUAGUGUUGAAGUAAUUCAUGUCAUACUCCUAGGAAAAGCUCGAACGACCUUCAAUAAAUGGGUACCUGUACCCGAAACCGACACAGGUGGGUAGGUAGGGAUGCGAGACAACUCUCUCUAAGGAACUCGGCAAAAUAGCCUCAUAACUUCAAGAGAAGGGGUGCCUCCUCACAAAGGGGGUCGUAGUGACCAGGUCCGGGCGACUGUUUACCAAAAACACAGGUCUCCGCAAAGUCGUAAGAUCAAGUAUGGGGGCUGAUGCAUGCCUAGUGCUGAAAGGUCAAGGAAGUUAAUGACUUGAUGACAGGGGAGCCGACGACUGAAGCCCCGGUGAACAGUGGUCGUAACUAUAAUAGUCCUAAUGUAGCAAAAUUCCUUGUCGGGUAAAUGCUACGACUUUUAUUGAAUUGAUGAACACUUUAAAUACAACAAAAGUUCAAACAGCAAAAA
rfam:Vigna angularis cultivar Jingnong 6 scaffold547_23, whole genome shotgun sequence.